UAUUGGGACUCAUCUGCCAUGCUAUAACUAUCAUGAACUUCCUUUUCAACGUCCUUCUUCGUUAACGCAUCAUUACGCUUGAACUCAAGUUGAUUUUGUUCAUCUUCCAUAGCAUCAUAGUGGUGGAAGCAAACCCAAAACAUAAUACCAGCAAUAAAGGCAGUGACGGCAAUACCAGUGUACAUCCAAGUAAGCUUAGGAUUGACAGCAGUAGAAGAAAUGCAAAUAGAUAGAAUGGCACCGAAUGCAUUGGUGAACAAGA